CGAAAGCACCCCUUUCUUUCCCACCCACCCCCCAAAAAAGAACCCCUAGAUUCGAAACUGCAGGCGGCUCCUCACGGGUUCCGAGAGAAACCGGUUCAAGAUGCCCCAACGCUGGAACGUGUGAACGUGUUUGGCAGUGAGAGGCAGAUGGAGGCUACAGAGCUGCAUAUACUGUGCACCGAUGGACUGAAAGAAAACCCCCUCCGCCGUGUGAAAAAAAUAAAAGGUCUAGAAGCAGAAUUGUGAGGGAAAGGGGUGAUUUAAGGAAGCGAGGAAUCUCACGAGCCUGUCAAAUUCCUCUUCAAGAUGUCUCAUCAAGUUGUGACAGCCAAAACCAAUGAGGAUGAAGAAUUUUUGUGACUGUUUCCCCGUGAUCACUACAGAGAACCUGAAAAGCAGUUAUGAACAUCUGCUGUCCUUUCACUGUAGUGUGGGAACCGUGUAGCACAACCUGCCCCCUACCCCUUCCUCCUUGACUUGAAUCAUAUUCCAUGCUUAAAAGGAUGAAUUGCCAGUUCUACUCUAGGUCAAGGUACUGCUUGAAUGAAAAGAAGGACUUUUCUAAUCCCCCUCCCUCAAAAGCAAAACAAAACAAACGAGUUUUCAAGUUCAGUUUGAAGAAGAGACAAUUGACACGAUAGCCAUCUUGAAAUAUUUGAAGGCCUGUCACAUGGCAGAUGGAACAAGCUUGUUUCCUGCUGUUCCAGGGGGCCGGGCCCAUAUCAAUGGUUUCACGUGAAAAGGCAGGAGCUUCCCACUAAACACUGGGAUAACAGAGCAGUUCAUUGGGAGAACUGGCUCUCUGAAAAGGUGGUAGACUCUCCUUUGUGGGAGGUUUUUGAAACAGUUGUGGAUGGCUAUCAGUCAGGGAUGUUUUGGGCAUAAUUUUCCUGCAUAGGAAAGAGGCUGGUUAUCAUUGGGGGUACCAUGCAGUUUUUGAGAUUCUACGAUUCUAGAUUUGGAAGGGGAAGACUUGAGGAGGCAAGACACCUUUAAAGGUGGUUUGGCUUGUUGAGUGUUCUUAAUCAGUAAAACUGGCUCCCAGACCCAUGAGAUUGGCUAACUCUUGGUUUACCAUUACCCAUGUUUUUCCCUUUAAAGGCAGUGGCAAGAGAUGAAGCUGUCCCAUGGUAUCUUGAUCUUUCUAGGUCUCUUUGCCUGUUAAAAACAUUUAUUCCUUUUAUUUUUCCUCUUGAGGCACAGAUUUGUGCUAUUUAUACAAUCCGACAAGUUUAGAAAAGGUUUAAUAACCCCCAACUGCUUCCACAAGUUGGCACAGAUUGUCAGCCUUGGCUGCAAGGAUAGGCAGGACUGCCAGAGCCUGGUGCUUAGAUAGCACAGUUCAGGCAUCCUGGCAGAUCAGGGGAAACCCACAUAGCACCCACCUACACAGCACCUGUGCUGCAAAUCAGGCAGACACUCGUCGCGGAGGAGCCAAGAUCUACAAGACCAUAAAUAUUAUACCAAUAAGAAGGAGGUAGGGUCAAAAAAGCAGAGCAACUCCCCCCCCCCAAAAAAAACAGUUAUGUUCGCAAACAUUUUUGGCCAAUUAAUAAUGCAAAAUAGGAAGGAUCUCCAACUCAAUUUUUUAGGGGAAAAAAACUCUACUGUUCAAGUGUAUUUAAACUUCUUCCCCUGGGACGAGCAAGGAAACCAUAUUUGGUCUCUUUUAUAUGAUACUCUUUCAGAGAUAUUCAGGUAUGUUGUAUUCCAGGCGGAGCAUAACCUGUUCCUUCACCCCUUUCUCAUAUAGCUUGUUCUUCACAAUGGGGCCAAAGCUCUCAAAGUUCUGUUCUCAUAUGUCUAAGCUACAGUGUGAAAAGAAGAGAGGAACCCCCAUGAGUGUCUUUUGGGAUGGAAUGGCAGUACAGUGG